rnacentral:rRNA from 1 species
GAUAGAGGCCUACCAUGGUUUUAACGGGUAACGGGGAAUUAGGGUUCGAUUCCGGAGAGGGAGCCUGAGAAACGGCUACCACAUCCAAGGAAGGCAGCAGGCGCGCAAAUUACCCAAUCCCAAUACGGGGAGGUAGUGACAAUAAAUAACAAUAUGGGGCCCUUACGGGUUUCGUAAUUGGAAUGAGUACAAUUUAAAUCUCUUAACGAGGAACAAUUGGAGGGCAAGUCUGGUGCCAGCAGCCGCGGUAAUUCCAGCUCCAAUAGCGUAUAUUAAAGUUGUUGCAGUUAAAAAGCUCGUAGUUGAAUUUCGGAAUCUGUCCGUUGGUCGGGCUUCAUUGUCCGUACUGGUGUGAUGGGUUCUUACCUUCUGAAUAACCAGCAUGCCAUUCAUUUGGUGCGCUGGGGAAGCAGGACUAUUACCUUGAAAAAAUUAGAGUGCUCAAAGCAGGCUAGUGCCUGAAUACAUUAGCAUGGAAUAAUAAAAUAGGACGGCAUGGUUCUAUUUUGUUGGUUUCUAGGAUCACCGUAAUGAUUAAUAGGGAUAGUUGGGGGCAUUAGUAUUCAAUUGUCAGAGGUGAAAUUCUUGGAUUUAUUGAAGACUAACUUCUGCGAAAGCAUUUGCCAAGGAUGUUUUCAUUAAUCAAGAACGAAAGUUAGGGGAUCGAAGACGAUCAGAUACCGUCGUAGUCUUAACCAUAAACUAUGCCGACUAGGGAUCGGACGAUGUUAAUUUUUUAAUGACUCGUUCGGCG